rnacentral:rRNA from 1 species
UGGGGAAUAUUGCGCUAUGGGGGGAACCCUGACGCAGCCAUGCCGCGUGAAUGAAGAAGGCCUUAGGGUUGUAAAGUUCUUUCGGUAUUGAGGAAGGUUGAUGUGUUAAUAGCACAUCAAAUUGACGUUAAAUACAGAAGAAGCACCGGCUAACUCCGUGCCAGCAGCCGCGGUAAUACGGAGGGUGCGAGCGUUAAUCGGAAUAACUGGGCGUAAAGGGCACGCAGGCGGUUAUUUAAGUGAGGUGUGAAAGCCCCGGGCUUAACCUGGGAAUUGCAUUUCAGACUGGGUAACUAGAGUACUUUAGGGAGGGGUAGAAUUCCACGUGUAGCGGUGAAAUGCGUAGAGAUGUGGAGGAAUACCGAAGGCGAAGGCAGCCCCUUGGGAAUGUACUGACGCUCAUGUGCGAAAGCGUGGGGAGCAAACAGGAUUAGAUACCCUGGUAGUCCACGCUGUAAACGCUGUCGAUUUGGGGGUUGGGGUUUUAACUCUGGCGCCCGUAGCUAACGUGAUAAAUCGACCGCCUGGGGAGUACGGCCGCAAGGUUA